CAAAAUACCAUAUGUAAAGUAAUAACAAAUAUUUUAGCUUUCACUCUGCAAUUUUGUGUUUUCAGGGAUUUUGGAGGACAGCAAAUCAACCCAGACCUGCAUGGCAAAGUCUUCAAUUUCAAGUGGCAUGGCUAUUCCCGAAAAAAGAGCUAAUUGUGCUACACAGUGUACAAAACUAUCAACUCACACCACUGGAAAUGCAGCCCAGAAGCCACAAAAUAGCUCUAGAACCUCAGAGGCUAAAUGGGACAAGAAAAGAGCCACAAAAGAAGUUAGUAGUAAUACUGCCAAAACAGACAAAUACAAACAAGUAAAUAGCAACAGAAGAGUCGCAAAGAAUGGUAUCAAUUAAGGAAAUACUGAAAAAAGGUGAACGAAUUCUGCAAUAUCUUGCUGCACUUUACCUGACUGCGUAAUUCAGGGAUCUGGAAUUUCAACAUUGAUAUUAUGCUGAAGGUGGCGGACAACUGAUGCUGAGUGCCUUCAGAAAAAUGGUGGACUUUAUUAGCUCUGCAGUUCUGCCAACAUUGGAAGCUUGAAUACUUUUUCUUGUCUUGUACCUGAUGAGCUUGGCCAUCAGUUAGGAAGUAACUGGUUUGAUUUUUACUUUGCCACCAUACAAUCAGCUAUUGAUUGAUUGACUGAUUGAUUCAUUAUGUGCCAUCAAGAUAGUGUGGAUUCUUAGAGACCACAAAGACAGAUUUUUCUCCAGGAUGAUCUGUUCCCAGCCUGACUCUUCUGAUGGUGCACAGUCGUCAUCUAGAUUAAUUCAAUUUUCAUAUGAAAUGUGUAUUAUCUGAAAUCAAAAUGUGAGUACAGCAAUCGCUGUGUGCAAAAUAGCACCCUGGGUGAUCCUGUCAUUAAUGUGCUGAGAUACCACAAGAGAGUUCUACUAUUAUAGAGAGCUUGCUGCUACUUAAAAUAGAUGGCCCAAAUUUGUGUCACUGUAUAUAACUGUGUGGCAGGUGUAAAACACUUAAGAAUGAAGUAUUCUGUUUGGCCAUAUAGGAAGUUUGCACUGGGUUAUUGUAUUAUAAUAGUUCAUGGUACUUGCUCAUUUUUGGGGAAAGUCAAUUCCCCCUGUCAAUGUGCCACAAUGUGGUGUGUACGCCAUGCAGGACAGGCCUAAUUCAAUUGUCAGUCUCAUUGGCAGCUGCCUAAAACCAAAAGUGAUUAUUUUUCAAGAAUAAUUCUCACAAAGUUCCCUAGCAGGAAAUGAAAAGGAAGAAUUGCAACAAAUCGUGAAUUAUAUUCAGAGUUGAAAUAACCUGUAUCCACCAACAUUGGGGUGGACAUUUUCUGAUUUUCUAACCAUUUUUCUAUGGUUCAUAAAGGAGGUGGUCUCUGCAUUGAUAAUGAGGAAAAUUUCAUCUGUCCGUGUGAUCAAAGCUCAGCUUUGAUACUAUUUUGAUAACAUAAAGUGUGACUGUAAGUCUGAGUUUCACAUUGGCCUUUGCAUUUAUUCCUGCUGAAAAUCAUGCUGCUAUAAAAUAGUAAAAUUAUGCCAAAUGCAUUGUUUAUUUAUUGUUUUUGUAAGGGUAUACAAUUCAAGAACUCUUGAGGGCUCAUGUGCUGCUUGCAUUCCGUGGAUGGGGCUUCGCUUGUUUGUGCAGCCUGGUUUCUGGCAUGUCGCGGACUGGUGCCAGUUCACGGACUGGAGAUUGGGAACCCUGGCCAUAUAGGAUUUAAAAUAGAUUUUAAAAAUUGACUGAAUAUGACUACCUAAAAAGAUAGUUUUGAUUUCACUUGAGGAGCAACUGAUGUAAAGUUCAAAAUGCUUAAUAGUGAUAGAAGAUAUUCACAGCAAGUAAAAGUAAGUUUUAGGAUGAAAUUAUAUGUGACAGUGUGAGGAAAGUGCAUAUUUCAAGAAUUUUCAUUUUUCACAUUUGCAUAUUAUAAACUUCCCCAAGUGUUUAAAUCCUGCCCUCAUGGUAAAAAUCCUUUUUAAUGUACUGUACACUUAAUAAGAGCUUCAAAUAGAGGGGAUGGGGUGGGGAAAUUAUCUCUUGAUUGUAUCUUUUCAAAAGUUUUCAAAAAUUGUAUACACUGUAUUGGAGUCUCUAAUUUUAAUGGAGAAGCAGAGCUGUUUUAAAGCAGGACUAAAUUUUCCAAGCAGAAGUCUGAUCUAUAAAUUAAUAAAAUAUUAAUCAGUAAACAAAUUAAGUGACCAGAUUACUGGAGAGAAUCAAAGCUGAACAAUUAUCAAUGUGUUGAAUGAGAACCUUAAUUAGCACAGAAGGGAGACGUUUUGGAAAUGUAACUAGAAAAAUGUGUACUAUUAAAAGAAAUUGCUUGAUAUUGAAAUCCAGU
ensembl:lncRNA